GACGAACGCUGGCGGCGUGCCUAAUACAUGCAAGUCGAACGCAGUGGGGACGGGUGAGUAACACGUGGGUAACCUCCCAUCAGAGGGGAUAACACUUGGAAACCGGUGCUAAACCGAUACUGAUGGAUGAACCCGCGGUGCAUUAGCUAGUUGGUGAGGUAACGGCUCACCAAGGCCACGAUGCGUAGCCGACCUAAGAGGAGGAUCGGGCACACUGGGACUGGUGCACGGCCCAGACGCCUACGGGAGGCAGCAGUAGGGAAUCGUCGGCAAUGGACGAAAGUCUGACCGAGCAACGCCGCGUGAGUGAAGAAGGGUUGCGGAGCGUAAAUCUCUGUUGUUAGAGAAGCGGUGUCUAACCAGAAGGCCACGGCUAACUACGUGCCAGCAGCCGCGGUAAUUC
rnacentral:rRNA from 1 species